CCUUGCACUUAGUCACAUUCCUACUGUCUCCCUGUCCCUCUCUUUCUCCGUUGGUGGUGCUUGGAUCCACAGACUGACGUUUGGAGGACAGGAACUGGAACAGCACACCUUGUACUCAACCAGACAUGUCGGACUCCGAGACCGCCGCUGCUCCCGCAGAGGCCCCAGUUCCCGCUGCUUGUACCAGCAUCAAGGCUGACUUGGACAAAUGUGUGGCUGAGAAGGGAGCGGAGGCAUGCAAAGACCUGAUGGAGGCCUUCGCUGCGUGUGUGAAGAAUGCAGCUGAGGGGACGUCAUGAGCCAGGAGUCACCCUCCAAUCCUUAAUGUCGACUGCACUGAGCCCUCCAAGUUCCCAGCAUUCCCUUCUGCACAUCAGCACUGGACUGAAUGGCAACAGCGAUGACGACGAUGAUGGUGUGACUAACAUUGUGUUGAUUCGGGUUGAGUUUGGGACCUGGCAGCAGUAACCAGAGUUUCCUCUUCUGCCCCCCCCCCCCUCAAACCCUUACUGGUAUCUUCCAUCCCCCCCCUCUUCCUCUAUGGCUGAUACAUGGUGCAUUGACUUGUAGACACUUCCAGAGAGCUGUCAUGUAACUUGAAAUGAAUACUAUCAAUGGAAAUAAAAGUAUUAAAUAAUUGCUAUAAAAUGAAA